rnacentral:rRNA from 1 species
GACGAACGCUGGCGGCGUGCCUAAUACAUGCAAGUAGGACGCAGUUGCGAACGGGUGAGUAACGCGUAGGUAACUACCUAUUAGAGGGGGAUAACUAUUGGAAACGAUAGCUAAUACCGCAUACUAGUAGAUGGACCUGCGUUGUAUUAGCUAGUGGGUAGGGUAAUGGCCUACCUAGGCAAAGAUACAUAGCCGAGCUGGUAGGGUGAUGGGCAAAACUUGGACGGGGACACGGCCCAGACUCCGUCGGGAGGCAGCAGUAGGGAAUCUUCGGCAAUGGGGGGAAGCCUGACCGAGCAACGCCGCGUGAGUGAAGAAGGUUUUCGGGUCGGAAAGCUCUGUUGUUAAGGAAGCGGUACUUAAACAGAAAGGGACGGCUAACUACGUGCCAGCAGCCGCGGUAAUUC